GGGGGUGUAGCUCAGCUGGGAGAGCAUCUGCUUUGCAAGCAGGGGGUCGUCGGUUCGAGUCCGAUCACCUCCA
rnacentral:tRNA from 1 species